CAAUAGCGUAUAUUAAAGUUGUUGCAGUUAAAAAGCUCGCAGUUGGAUUUCUGAUCGAGACAUCAGGUCGGGUCCGAGAGGAUCAUGUACUUUGAUUUUGUUUUGAUCAUCCUUGGGGAGAGCAUUUCUGGCAUUCAGUUGUCGGGAUUGGGAUCCUCAUCGUUUACUGUGAAAAAAUUAGAGUGUUCAAAGCAGGCCUCGGCCUCUGAAUACAUUAGCAUGGAAUAAUAAGAUAGGACUUUGGUGGUCUAUUUUGUUGGUUUGCACGCCAAAGUAAUGAUUAAUAGGGAUAGUUGGGGGUAUUCGUAUUCAAUUGUCAGAGGUGAAAUUCUUGGAUUUAUGGAAGACGAACUACUGCGAAAGCAUUUACCAAGGAUGUUUUCAUUAA
rnacentral:rRNA from 1 species